UUACAGAGCCCAUCAGGGCCUUGAAACUCCUCCCCAGCUCCCUGCAGGGACCUGCCGCCUCUAUGCUUAAGGUGUCCUUGUUUCGUACCUGCUACUCUGUACACUUUAUAUCAGCAUCUGUAUCUGUAAAGCUAGAGAUAAAGAAACCGAGGUACCCAGAGGUCGUGAUCUCACGGUUGUGAGUUGAAGCC